rnacentral:rRNA from 1 species
GAUGAACGCUGGCGGCGUGCCUAAUACAUGCAAGUCGAGCGAACGGACGAGAAGCUUGCUUCUCUGAUGUUAGCGGCGGACGGGUGAGUAACACGUGGAUAACCUACCUAUAAGACUGGGAUAACUUCGGGAAACCGGAGCUAAUACCGGAUAAUAUUUUGAACCGCAUGGUUCAAAAGUGAAAGACGGUCUUGCUGUCACUUAUAGAUGGAUCCGCGCUGCAUUAGCUAGUUGGUAAGGUAACGGCUUACCAAGGCAACGAUGAAUAGCCGACCUGAGAGGGUGAUCGGCCACACUGGAACUGAGACACGGUCCAGACUCCUACGGGAGGCAGCAGUAGGGAAUCUUCCGCAAUGGGCGAAAGCCUGACGGAGCAACGCCGCGUGAGUGAUGAAGGUCUUCGGAUCGUAAAACUCUGUUAUUAGGGAAGAACAUAUGUGUAAGUAACUGUGCACAUCUUGACGGUACCUAAUCAGAAAGCCACGGCUAACUACGUG